rnacentral:rRNA from 1 species
GACGAACGCUGGCGGCGUGCUUAACACAUGCAAGUCGAACGGAAAGGCCCUGCUUUUGUGGGGUGCUCGAGUGGCGAACGGGUGAGUAACACGUGAGUAACCUGCCCUUGACUUUGGGAUAACUUCAGGAAACUGGGGCUAAUACCGGAUAGGAGCUCCUGCUGCAUGGUGGGGGUUGGAAAGUUUCGGCGGUUGGGGAUGGACUCGCGGCUUAUCAGCUUGUUGGGGGGUAGUGGCUUACCAAGGCCUUGACGGGUAGCCGGCCUGAGAGGGAGACCGGCCACAUUGGGACUGAGAUACGGCCCAGACUCCUACGGGAGGCAGCAGUGGGGAAUAAUGCACAAUGGGCGGAAGCCUGAUGCAGCAACGCCGCGUGCGGGAUGACGGCCUUCGGGUAGUAAACCGCUUUCGCCUGUGACGAAGCGUGAGUGACGGUAAUGGGUAAAGAAGCACCGGCUAACUACGU